rnacentral:rRNA from 1 species
CACGUAGGGUGCGAGCGUUGUCCGGAAUUAUUGGGCGUAAAGAGCUCGUAGGCGGUGUGUCGCGUCGGCCGUGAAAACCUGCAGCUUAACUGUGGGCGUGCGGUCGAUACGGGCAUCACUGGAGUUCGGCAGGGGAGAGUGGAAUUCCUGGUGUAGCGGUGAAAUGCGCAGAUAUCAGGAAGAACACCCGUGGCGAAGGCGGCUCUCUGGAACGCAACUGACGCUGAGACGCGAAAGCGUGGGGAGCAAACAGG